CAAUCUUAUUGCAAGCUUGCCAGAAGAUUUAGCAAAUUGUUCCAAAUUGUCCAAGCUAGAUAUGGAGGAAAACAAGUUAACAGAGAUAUCUGAAAAUCUCUUUUCAUCAUGGACCAUGCUUACUGAAUUCAAUGCAUCAAAAAACUUGUUGAAUGGCAUACCAGACAGCAUUGGAGGCCUUUCACGUCUAAUUCAUCUUGAUCUCCACCAGAACAGUGAGCUCUUUCAUGUUAUUCACAUAUUCUUAGAAGUUAAACAGAUUAAUAUGGAAUUAGAAUGCUUACAUUGGUGCCUAGCUAGAACAUUCGGAACCAGUAUAAGCAGAAAUUGAGAGAACAGUUAGAUACUCUGGCAUAUUUGAUCAAAGAAUGAUGCAGACUCAAGCAUGCCACCAAGUGAUGGAUGAAGCAGAAAAGGAGUACAAGAAGUUUUCCGAACGGAUCACUGAAAGCCGUGAGGCAAUGAAG